UGGUUAGAUUUGGAACCUAACGGGUCACACAUAAUGAGAAUUUGGUCUUGAUCCAAUCUAUUUAAAUUUAUUAUAAAUCCAAUGGGUUAAUUGAAUUGCUAGCAUAUGAAUUAACCUAAGUUCCCAAUUGGGUUCAGUGCAAAUAUGUUUGUGCUAACCCUUAACUUGUUGCCUUGAUCGAAUGUGAUUGGAUUUGAACCUAUAAUUAAAUAGGUGACUUAUCUGAUUUUUAUAAAAGAGUUCCAUGUGAAUCAACCUCCUCCAUGCCAACACCACACACAAAAAAAAUAUGGCACGCCCCGUUUAUUUUAGGUGUUAAGAGGAGGAGUCCUUCUCUUUCACUCCUCUUAAAAUCCUUACCAUCUUUUGACGUGUUCCUUUAUUUCCUCAUGUUAUAUGAUGACUUUUGAAAUUAUGGGCAUAGAAGAGAAGGAAGAGUCCUUCUGUGGUAAGGAGUUUGAAUGUCAAAUUAAAUGGGACGCUACAUAUAUGCAUUGGAUAAUAUGGAAGAGUCCUUAAUGUCAUGGACUCUUUGUUUCUCACGCGUUUCCUUAUCCCACGCGCCAUAUGAUGGCAUUUUAUUUUUUCUUGGUAAAGGAAGAGUCCUUCCAUAGAUAAAACACUUCCUAUUCUACAUCUUGCUCUUGGGAUUUCACACUAAAAAUAUAUGUUGUGGCAUGUAAGAAUUAAGGGAUGCCAAGAGUUGGUGUCGUAUGGUGUCGCCCCUUCUUUCCUAUAAAUAGGGGGCACUACACCUGGUUCUGUAUGCCAAUUUGGGCUGAGGAUAGGCAUGAGAAUGAGAAGAAAAAGAGAG
rnacentral:lncRNA from 1 species